rnacentral:rRNA from 1 species
AUCAACGCUGGCGGCGUGCCUCAGACAUGCAAGUCGAACGCGAAAGUUCCCUUCGGGGAAUAAGUAGAGUGGCGCACGGGUGAGUAACACGUAGGUAAUCUACCUUCGGGUGGGGAAUAACCCAGGGAAACUUGGGCUAACACCGCAUGAUGCAGCGGCACCACAUGGUGACAGUUGUUAAAGCGGGGGAUUUUCGGACCUCGCGCCUGAAGAGGAGCCUGCGGCGGAUUAGCUAGNGGUGAGGUAACGGCUCACCAAGGUCACGAUCCGUAGCCGGCCUGAGAGGGCGGUCGGCCACACUGACACUGACAUACGGGUCAGACUCCUACGGAGGCAGCAGUCGGGAAUUUUGGGCAAUGGGCGAAAGCCUGACCCAGCAACGCCGCGUGAAGGAUGAAAUCCCUCGGGAUGUAAACUUCGCAAGAAUGGGAAGAAUGAACGAGCGCUAGUACCGUUCGUGAUGACGGUACCAUUUGUAAGCUCCGGCUAACUCCGUGCC